rnacentral:rRNA from 1 species
AUACGGGAGGCAGCAGUAAGGAAUAUUGGUCAAUGGAGGCAACUCUGAACCAGCCAUGCCGCGUGCAGGAAGACAGCCCUCUGGGUCGUAAACUGCUUUUAUUCGGGAAUAAACCUAUCUACGUGUAGAUAGCUGAAUGUACCGAAGGAAUAAGGAUCGGCUAACUCCGUGCCAGCAGCCGCGGUAAUACGGAGGAUCCAAGCGUUAUCCGGAUUUAUUGGGUUUAAAGGGUGCGUAGGCGGCUUAUUAAGUCAGGGGUGAAAGACGGUGGCUCAACCAUCGCAGUGCCUUUGAUACUGAUGAGCUUGAAUAUACUAGAGGUAGGCGGAAUGUGACAAGUAGCGGUGAAAUGCAUAGAUAUGUCACAGAACACCGAUUGCGAAGGCAGCUUACUAUGGUAUUAUUGACGCUGAGGCACGAAAGCGUGGGGAUCAAACAGGCUUAGAUACCCUGGUAGA